AGUGGCGGACGGGUGAGUAACGCGUGGGUAACCUGCCUCAUACAGGGGGAUAACAGUUAGAAAUGACUGCUAAUACCGCAUAAGACCACAGCACCGCAUGGUGCAGGGGUAAAAACUCCGGUGGUAUGAGAUGGACCCGCGUCUGAUUAGGUAGUUGGUGGGGUAACGGCCUACCAAGCCGACGAUCAGUAGCCGACCUGAGAGGGUGACCGGCCGCAUUGGGACUGAGACACGGCCCAA
rnacentral:rRNA from 1 species